rnacentral:rRNA from 1 species
AUACGGAGGGGGCUAGCGUUGUUCGGAAUUACUGGGCGUAAAGCGCACGUAGGCGGUUUACCAAGUUAGGCGUGAAAGCCCCAGGCUCAACCUGGGAACUGCGUUUAAUACUGGUAAACUAGAGACCGGGAGAGGGUGGCGGAAUUCCCAGUGUAGAGGUGAAAUUCGUAGAUAUUGGGAAGAACACCAGUUGCGAAGGCGGCCACCUGGACCGGUACUGACGCUGAGGUGCGAAAGCGUGGGGAGCAAACAGGAUUAGAAACCCUAGUAGUCC